AUGAUGCUCUGUUUAUUUCUUCAGGGGAAGCCGAUUGUUGAAAAUACUCGUUCUUGUCGAUGUGAAUGCCCAGCCCUCAUGAGAUUACUCCGAUCCAAGGACAACGGGUGGUACAUAGCUGAGCAUCGAGAUGUGCACAACCAUGCUUUGACACAAACCUACGGCCAAACAAUACACUGGCCGUCACACAAGCAUAUUGAUGUCUACAGCAGAGACCUGGUCAAGCAGUUGCGACAAAACAAUGUCAGCCUCGCAAAGGUGUAUAGCAUCAUUGGUAGCUUCUUUGGGAGGAUGGAGAAUGUACCAUUCACGAAAAGAGCAUUGAGAAAUUUAUGUGGCAAGAUUAGCCAUGAGCAGUCCGAAGAUGAUGUCAGGAAAACAAUGGAAGUGUUCCAGGAGCUGUGUUCAAAGGAUCCACAAUUCACAUACCGGGUUCAAGCUGACAGUGAGGGCAGAAUAAGCAACUUGAUGUGGGCUACUGGCAACAGCAGGCUGCAGUACAACUUCUUUGGAGAUGUAGUUACAUUUGACACAACUUAUCGGACCAACUUGUACGACAUGCCGUUUGGCUUGUUCGUUGGGGUUAACAGCCAUUUUCAGAUCAUCAUACUUGCGGGGGUGCUAGUUAAACACGAGACAGUGGAGACAUUUGAGUGGGUAUUCUCGGAGUUUGUUAGGAUAAUGGGUGGCAGGGCGGCGCAAACAAUCCUGACUGAUCAAAACAGGGCGAUGGAGGUCGCAAUUAGUAAUAUGUUGCCUGACAUGGCUCACCGCUGGUGCAAGUGGCAUGUGCUUAAGAAGAUACGUCACAAAUGGGCAAAGCCAUUUUUCAAGGGUGUAUUCUGUGCAAAGAUGAUUAGUACCCAACGGAGUGAAAGCGCAAACCAAAUGUUGAAGAACUACGUGCCUCCUGGAUGCCCAAUGCAU
rnacentral:rRNA from 1 species